rnacentral:rRNA from 1 species
AUUGAACGCUGGCGGCAUGCUUUACACAUGCAAGUCGAACGGUAACAGGUUAAGCUGACGAGUGGCGAACGGGUGAGUAAUGCAUCGGAACGUGCCCGGUCGUGGGGGAUAACGCAGCGAAAGCUGCGCUAAUACCGCAUACGAUCUGAGGAUGAAAGCGGGGGACCGUAAGGCCUCGCGCGAUCGGAGCGGCCGAUGUCAGAUUAGGUAGUUGGUGGGGUAAAGGCUCACCAAGCCGACGAUCUGUAGCUGGUCUGAGAGGACGACCAGCCACACUGGGACUGAGACACGGCCCAGACUCCUACGGGAGGCAGCAGUGGGGAAUUUUGGACAAU